UACGAAGGGGGCUAGCGUUGCUCGGAAUCACUGGGCGUAAAGGGUGCGUAGGCGGGUCUUUAAGUCGGGGGUGAAAUCCUGGAGCUCAACUCCAGAACUGCCUUCGAUACUGGAGAGCUCGAGUCCGGGAGAGGUGGAGUGGAACUGCGAGUGUAGAGGUGAAAUUCGUAGAUAUUCGCAAGAACACCAAGUGGCGAAGGCGGACUCACUGGCCCGGUACUGACGCUGACGGUGCGAAAGCGAGGGGAGCAA
rnacentral:rRNA from 1 species